AUGUUCACAUUCAAUGACAUAAUUCAUAAGCAGAAUUUUAUUGAAAUUCCUAUCAAAGGCCGAUCUUAUACUUGGAGCAAUAUGCAGCAAGAUCCUCUGCUCGAGCAAUUGGACUGGUUCCUGACAUCACUUCACUGGACCAACGUCUGCCCUAAAACCAUGGUGAACCCCUUGGGAAACCCAUCUCAUACCACAUUCCCUGUGUUGUUAACAUUGAGACUACUAUUCCUCGCAGCAAGCUAUUUCAUUUUGAAUCUUUUUGGCUCCUUUCAUCCUGGUUUUAUGGAACUCAUUCAAGCAACAUGGGAUAAAUCAGUUCUUUCCAAUAAUGUUCCAAGUUAA
rnacentral:rRNA from 1 species